rnacentral:rRNA from 1 species
UACGAGGGGGGCAAAUGUUGUUCGGAAUCACUGGGCGUAAAGGGAGCGUAGGCGGGUUUCUAAGUCAGGUGUUUAAUCCCGGGGCCCAACCCCGGACAGGCACUUGAAACUGGGAAUCUUGAAUAGUGGAGAGGUCAGUGGAAUUGGGGGUGUAGCGGUGGAAUGCGUAGAGAUCCCCAAGAACACCAGUUGCGAAGGCGGCAUCCUGGACCGGUAUUGACGCUGAGGCGCGAAAGCCAGGGGAGCAAACGGGG